rnacentral:lncRNA from 1 species
GCGCAGAGGGUAGUGAGGGAAGGAGUGAGUACAGACACGCAAGGGAAAGAAGCACUGCUGAGAUGGGCCCAGCUUCAGAGCCAUAAAGGAGCUCUGUUCUGUAAGGACAAGGGCCAGAGCAAGAAUUGGAGCAUCAUGGAGCAGCAGUUUGGAAAGGACAUCAAAGGAGGGAGCAGGAUGGCUGGGGAAGAAAGGAAAUCUUCCAUCUGAGCAAAGUUUAG